rnacentral:rRNA from 1 species
GAUGAACGCUGGCGGCGUGCCUAAUACAUGCGAGUCGAGCGAACAGACGAGGAGCUUGCUCCUCUGACGUUAGCGGCGGACGGGUGAGUAACACGUGGAUAACCUACCUAUAAGACUGGGAUAACUUCGGGAAACCGGAGCUAAUACCGGAUAAUAUAUUGAACCGCAUGGUUCAAUAGUGAAAGACGGUUUUGCUGUCACUUAUAGAUGGAUCCGCGCCGCAUUAGCUAGUUGGUAAGGUAACGGCUUACCAAGGCAACGAUGCGUAGCCGACCUGAGAGGGUGAUCGGCCACACUGGAACUGAGACACGGUCCAGACUCCUACGGGAGGCAGCAGUAGGGAAUCUUCCGCAAUGGGCGAAAGCCUGACGGAGCAACGCCGCGGGAGUGAUGAAGGUCUUCGGAUCGUAAAACUCUGUUAUUAGGGAAGAACAAAUGUGUAAGUAACUAUGCACGUCUUGACGGUACCUAAUCAGAAAGCCACGGCUAACUACGU